rnacentral:lncRNA from 1 species
CCAGGCCUCAGGACUUAAGACUUCUUUGUUUUUUUCUUCCCUAAAUCUUCCCUCUGUGAUAUUGAAGAAUCAUAAAGUAUCAUCAACAAACACAAUUUUGUAUCUGGAAAAUGCAUUAAAAUCACCUAUGUAACCUGCAUGAGAGGAAGGUCCAGCACUUCAGGAAGGAUAUGAUUUCCAGGCCUAAUGAAACUUGGUAGUGAAGGCAAGAAGGAAUGCUUGGAAGAAUGAACAAAAGCAAUCACUGGAACAGUGACAGGGGAUUGAUUGCUCAGUUCUAGCUGGUACAGGCAAGGCAUCGAUACCCCAGGAAGGUUUCCCUGGGAGGGCUGUAACAACCACCCCAAAGAUCAUUUAAAAGUGGUCUUGGGGACGGGAGGGGAGGGG